rnacentral:lncRNA from 1 species
UCAAUAAAUGCAGGGUAAAAAAACGCAGCACCUAGGGGAGUUUUUCGUUUAAAAAAUAUAUAUAUUUAUUUAUGUUUCAUUAUGUAUACACACGACUAGCUCGAUGGAAUUGAUGUUCAUCUGAUUUUCUUUUAACCCAAUUUAAUUAAUUUCCCAAUAAAAAAACCCAAAAUCACUGAUGAAACCUAAUCUCUUCCCUGCCUCUUCACAUCCUCUGAGAAAACCUUCUUUGCCUCUCUCUCAUCCAGCACCGAGCUCCGCCGUGCGCCGCCAUUCACUAUCGUCCUUUCGAUCCUGAGACACCUCCAACCGUCUCUUCUUCCUUCCCUCUUCAGACUGGUUUUCUUCGAAACCGAUCUAAACCUUGUAGCUCCAAGCUUGAAGUAUAAAAUCCAAACUUCCGAUCCGGCUAAAUCCACCGUCUGAUUGUCACACCACUCUGACCAUCGCUUCCUGGUGGCCGAACGCGCCUCCCCAUCGUUCGGAUAGUCGGUGUGAAUAAAGAAUCAAAACAGCUCUGAGAUCGCUUCCUCGUGGCCGAACGCGCCUCCCCAUCAAUCAAACGCUGCUCCCAUUUUUUGUUUUGGGAAACAAAAUCGAUGUGGAUGGUGGAAACAGUUGAGUAGUAGGUAUAUACAUUUGAAAUGCCUUUUGUGGAAAUGUAGUUUGAUGAUUAGAUUAUAUUCAUAUUUGAAAUUAACUUGUCAUUUACCACAUGUAUACUUGUGUGUUUGAACUCUAUGGUGAUGGGCACUCUUUGAUGCACUCAACAUUGCUCUAACAAGGACAUUUGUUAACUUUGUAGGCAUUAAUAUAUACAUUUGAAAUGCCUUUUGUGGAAAUGUAGUUUGAUGAUUAGAUUAUAUUCAUAUUUGAAAUUAACUUGUCAUUCACCACCAAAAUGGCAGGUCUUGCUCUAGAAACUAUGUAUACUUUAGUGUGUUUGAACUCUAUGGUGAUGGGCACUCUUUGAUGCACUCAACAUUGCUCUAACAAGGACAUUUGUUAACUUUGUAGGCAUUGAUGUUUAUGUUAACUGGAUUAUGUAUUAAUAUUCAUUAUUAAUAAAAAAUAUUUGUUUUGUUUCUUUAUUUUCUUUAAUUCUUUUUACGAAUUUUUUGAUUUUAAUAUCUCUUAAUUCAAAUAUGAUGGCUGGAAAAGAACAUUUGAGAAUCAAACAAAAAUUGUAAAAAACAAUAAUUAAGCUAUUCGUCAG